UGGGGAAUAUUGGACAAUGGGGGCAACCCUGAUCCAGCAAUGCCGCGUGUGUGAAGAAGGCCUGCGGGUUGUAAAGCACUUUCAGUAGAGAAGAAAAGCCUAAGGUUAAUAACCUUGAGUCUUGACGUAACCUACAGAAGAAGCACCGGCUAACUCCGUGCCAGCAGCCGCGGUAAUACGGAGGGUGCAAGCGUUAAUCGGAAUUACUGGGCGUAAAGCGCACGUAGGUGGUUUUGUAAGUCGGAUGUGAAAGCCCUGGGCUCAACCUGGGAAUUGCAUUCGAUACUGCUUAACUAGAGUAUGGUAGAGGGAAGUGGAAUUUCCGGUGUAGCGGUGAAAUGCGUAGAUAUCGGAAGGAACACCAGUGGCGAAGGCGACUUCCUGGGCCAAUACUGACACUGAGGUGCGAAAGCGUGGGUAGCAAACAGGAUUAGAUACCCUUGUAGUCCCUGAGCGGGCUGGCAAGGCGCAU
rnacentral:rRNA from 1 species